rnacentral:rRNA from 1 species
CCUACGGGAGGCAGCAGUGGGGAAUUUUGGACAAUGGGGGCAACCCUGAUCCAGCCAUUCCGCGUGAGUGAAGAAGGCCUUCGGGUUGUAAAGCUCUUUCGGCAGGAACGAAACGGCCAUUACUAAUACUAGUGGUCAAUGACGGUACCUGAAGAAGAAGCACCGGCUAACUACGUGCCAGCAGCCGCGGUAAUACGUAGGGUGCGAGCGUUAAUCGGAAUUACUGGGCGUAAAGCGUGCGCAGGCGGUUUUGUAAGACAGAUGUGAAAUCCCCGGGCUUAACCUGGGAACUGCGUUUGUGACUGCAAGACUCGAGUGCGGCAGAGGGGGGUGGAAUUCCGCGUGUAGCAGUGAAAUGCGUAGAGAUGCGGAGGAACACCGAUGGCGAAGGCAGCCCCCUGGGUCGACACUGACGCUCAUGCACGAAAGCGUGGGGAGCA